GGGGCUGUAGCUCAGUGGUAGAGCACCCACCUAGCAUAUGUGAGGCACUGGGUUCAACCCUCAGCACCA
rnacentral:tRNA from 1 species